CGCACUAGAACGCCCCCUGGUGGAUAUUUUGUUAUGUUUUGGUGACGCUAAAAAAGAAUAUAGAUCCAAGAUGGUGGAACGCGUCACCGAACAGUUCAUGAUUUAAGCUGAUUAUUAUCCUUAUACGUUGUGUUUCAGACAAGAUUUGUUCUUUACGAUGGCCAAAGUGAUGGCAGUGGUCAGAGGCCACUCUUCAAUAAACAAGUAGAAAAGAAA